GUGGGGAAUAUUGGACAAUGGGCGAAAGCCUGAUCCAGCCAUGCCGCGUGUGUGAAGAAGGUCUUCGGAUUGUAAAGCACUUUAAGUUGGGAGGAAGGGCUGUAAGUUAAUACCUUGCUGUUUUGACGUUACCGACAGAAUAAGCACCGGCUAACUUCGUGCCAGCAGCCGCGGUAAUACGAAGGGUGCAAGCGUUAAUCGGAAUUACUGGGCGUAAAGCGCGCGUAGGUGGUUUUGUAAGUUGGAGGUGAAAUCCCCGGGCUCAACCUGGGAACUGCCUCCAAAACUGCAUGACUAGAGUACGGUAGAGGGUAGUGGAAUUUCCUGUGUAGCGGUGAAAUGCGUAGAUAUAGGAAGGAACACCAGUGGCGAAGGCGACUACCUGGACUGAUACUGACACUGAGGUGCGAAAGCGUGGGGAGCAAACAGGAUUAGAAACCCUGGUAGUCC
rnacentral:rRNA from 1 species